GAUUAACGCUGGCGGCGUGCAUAACACAUGCAAGUCGUACGAUGAAACUUAACUGAUUUCUUCGGAAUGAUUUUAAGUGGAUUAGUGGCGGACGGGUGAGUAACGCGUGAGUAACCUGCCUUGGAGAAGGGGAUAGCCUUUGGAAACGAAGAAUAAUACCCUAUGAUAUGAUCAUAUCUCAUGAUAUUAUCAUCAAAGAUUUAUCGCUCUAAGAUGGACUUGCGUCUGAUUAGUUAGUUGGUGAGGUAACAGCUCACCAAGGCAGCGAUCAGUAGCCGGCUUGAGAGAGUGUACAGCCACAUUGGGACUGAGACACGGCCCAGACUCCUACGGGAGGCAGCAGUGGGGAAUUUUGCACAAUGGGGGAAACCCUGAGGCAGCGACGCCGCGUGAUUGAGAAGGCCUUCGGGUUGUAAAAAUCUUUUGUAUGGGAAGAAAAUGACAGUACCAUACGAAUAAGGACCGGCUAAUUACGUG
rnacentral:rRNA from 1 species